CCCUUAGAUGUUCUGGGCCGCACGCGCGCUACACUGACGCAUUCAACGAGUCUCCUUGGCCGAGAGGCCUGGGUAAUCUUGUGAACGUGCGUCGUGAUAGGGAUAGAUUAUUGCAAUUAUUAAUCUUGAACGAGGAAUUCCUAGUAAACGCAGAUCAUCAAUCUGCAUUGAUUACGUCCCUGCCCUUUGUACACACCGCCCGUCGCACCUACCGAUUGGAUGGUCCGGUGAGGCCUCGGGAUUGUGGCCGGUGCAUUCAUUUGUGUCGGUUGUGAGAACUUGUCCAAACCUUAUCAUCUAGAGGAAGGUGAAGUCGUAACA
rnacentral:rRNA from 1 species